rnacentral:rRNA from 1 species
GCUCCCUGAUGUUAGCGGCGGACGGGUGAGUAACACGUGGGUAACCUGCCUGUAAGACUGGGAUAACUCCGGGAAACCGGGGCUAAUACCGGAUGGUUGUUUGAACCGCAUGGUUCAAACAUAAAAGGUGGCUUCGGCUACCACUUACAGAUGGACCCGCGGCGCAUUAGCUAGUUGGUGAGGUAACGGCUCACCAAGGCAACGAUGCGUAGCCGACCUGAGAGGGUGAUCGGCCACACUGGGACUGAGACACGGCCCAGACUCCUACGGGAGGCAGCAGUAGGGAAUCUUCCGCAAUGGACGAAAGUCUGACGGAGCAACGCCGCGUGAGUGAUGAAGGUUUUCGGAUCGUAAAGCUCUGUUGUUAGGGAAGAACAAGUACCGUUCGAAUAGGGCGGUACCUUGACGGUACCUAACCAGAAAGCCACGGCUAACUACGUGCCAGCAGCCGCGGUAAUACGUAGGUGGCAAGCGUUGUCCGGAAUUAUUGGGCGUAAAGGGCUCGCAGGCGGUUUCUUAAGUCUGAUGUGAAAGCCCCCGGCUCAACCGGGGAGGGUCAUUGGAAACUGGGGAACUUGAGUGCAGAAGAGGAGAGUGGAAUUCCACGUGUAGCGGUGAAAUGCGUAGAGAUGUGGAGGAACACCAGUGGCGAAGGCGACUCUCUGGUCUGUAACUGACGCUGAGGAGCGAAAGCGUGGGGAGCGAACAGGAUUAGAUACCCUGGUAGUCCACGCCGUAAACGAUGAGUGCUAAGUGUUAGGGGGUUUCCGCCCCUUAGUGCUGCAGCUAACGCAUUAAGCACUCCGCCUGGGGGAGUACGGUCGCAAGACUGAAACUCAAAGG